rnacentral:misc_RNA from 1 species
AAGUCGUAACAAGGUCUCCGUUGGUGAACCAGCGGAGGGAUCAUUACCGAGUUUACAACUCCCAAACCCCUGUGAACAUACCUAUCGUUGCCUCGGCGGUGCCCGCUCCGGCGGCCCGCCAGAGGACCCCCAAACUCUUGUUUUAUACAGUAUCUUCUGAGUAACACGAUUAAAUAAAUCAAAACUUUCAACAACGGAUCUCUUGGUUCUGGCAUCGAUGAAGAACGCAGCGAAAUGCGAUAAGUAAUGUGAAUUGCAGAAUUCAGUGAAUCAUCGAAUCUUUGAACGCACAUUGCGCCCGCCAGUAUUCUGGCGGGCAUGCCUGUUCGAGCGUCAUUUCAACCCUCAAGCCCCCGGGCUUGGUGUUGGGGAUCGGCGUGCCCUCGUGGCGCGCCGUCCCCUAAAUCUAGUGGCGGUCUCGCUGUAGCUUCCUCUGCGUAGUAGCAACACUCGCACUGGAUCGCAGCGCGGCCACGCCGUUAAACCCCCCACUUCUGAAAGUUUGACCUCGGAUCAGGUAGGAAUACCCGCUGAACUUAA